GACGAACGCUGGCGGCGUGCUUAACACAUGCAAGUCGAACGGAAAGGCCCUGCUUUUGUGGGGUGCUCGAGUGGCGAACGGGUGAGUAACACGUGAGUAACCUGCCCUUGACUUUGGGAUAACUUCAGGAAACUGGGGCUAAUACCGGAUAGGAGCUCCUGCUUCAUGGUGGGGGUUGGAAAGUUUCGGCGGUUGGGGAUGGACUCGCGGCUUAUCAGCUUGUUAGUGGGGUAGUGGCUUACCAAGGCUUUGACGGGUAGCCGGACUGAGAGGGUGACCGGCCACAUUGGGCCUGAGGUGCGGCCCAGACUGCUACGGGAGGCAGAAGUGGGGAAUAUUGCACAAUGGGCGGAAGCCUGAUGCAGCAACGCCGCGUGCGGGAUGACGGCCUUCGGGUUGUAAACCGCUUUCGCCUGUGACGAAGCGUGAGUGACGGUAAUGGGUAAAGAAGCACCGGCUAACUACGUG
rnacentral:rRNA from 1 species